AGAGUUUGAUCCUGGCUCAGAACGAACGCUGGCGGCAGGCUUAACACAUGCAAGUCGAGCGCCCCGCAAGGGGAGCGGCAGACGGGUGAGUAACGCGUGGGAACGUACCUUUUGCUACGGAAUAACUCAGGGAAACUUGUGCUAAUACCGUAUGUGCCCUUCGGGGGAAAGAUUUAUCGGCAAAGGAUCGGCCCGCGUUGGAUUAGCUAGUUGGUGAGGUAAAGGCUCACCAAGGCGACGAUCCAUAGCUGGUCUGAGAGGAUGAUCAGCCACACUGGGACUGAGACACGGCCCAGACUCCUACGGGAGGCAGCAGUGGGGAAUAUUGGACAAUGGGCGCAAGCCUGAUCCAGCCAUGCCGCGUGAGUGAUGAAGGCCCUAGGGUUGUAAAGCUCUUUCACCGGUGAAGAUAAUGACGGUAACCGGAGAAGAAGCCCCGGCNNANUAACGGUUCAAA
rnacentral:rRNA from 2 species